GAUGAAGAACGUAGCGAAAUGCGAUACGUAAUGUGAAUUGCAGAAUUCAGUGAAUCAUCGAAUCUUUGAACGCAUAUUGCGCUCUUUGGUAUUCCGAAGAGCAUGCUUGUUUGAGUAUCAGUAAACACCUCAACCUCUUCUUGAUUUUUCAAAAGGAGGGUGGACUUGAGCUAUCCCAACAACCUUUACCGGUCGGCGGGCGGCUUGAAAUGCAGGUGCAGCUGGACUUUUAUCUGAGCUAAAAGCAUAUCUAUUUAGUCCUCGUCAAACAGGAUUAUUACUUUUGCUGCAGCUAACAUAAAGGAUAAUUGUCCUCUUUGCUGACUGAUGCAGGAUUUUACGACACUUUAUGUGUUGUUCAACUCGAUCUCAAAUCAAGCAAGACUACCCGCUGAACUUAAGCAUAUCAAUAAGCGGAGGA
rnacentral:misc_RNA from 1 species